rnacentral:rRNA from 1 species
UACGAAGGGGGCUAGCGUUGCUCGGAAUCACUGGGCGUAAAGCGCACGUAGGCGGCUUUUUAAGUCAGGGGUGAAAUCCUGGAGCUCAACUCCAGAACUGCCUUUGAUACUGAGAAGCUUGAGUCCGGGAGAGGUGAGUGGAACUGCGAGUGUAGAGGUGAAAUUCGUAGAUAUUCGCAAGAACACCAGUGGCGAAGGCGGCUCACUGGCCCGGUACUGACGCUGAGGUGCGAAAGCGUGGGGAGCAAAGCAGG